GGGCACUGCCGGGUGACCCUGGAAAUCCAGGGUGGGUGAGGCCUGUCUGACCCUUUCCAGGCGACCCACUCUUGGUUUCCAGGGUUGCCCUGG
rnacentral:miRNA from 1 species